GGCUCAUGUAGGUUUGAUCCCUUGCUGACAGAUGAAUGCACUCCGUUGAUCUGAAUUAUCUCAAUCAGCAUGUGAGAAGAAAGGGAAUGCCUUCACAGCCUUCCUGCACAUGAGAAAAGGUUUUCCAGGGUGCAACCAUCUGCCUUUCAGUGUUGCUUCUCUACCCAAGUUUCCAUCACGUCACUUUGAAGACCUGGAUUUAACACAGAGCGUCCUGGUUCUCCCUCCUGGUGAAAGGGGGCAUCACAAGAUGUUGGUGUCCAUGUGCAGGAAGGAAGAAAGAAGAGAUCCAUACUGACCGCAGCCCUGCUAAGCGGUCAGCCGGGCUCACGGUUUGUUUUCCAUGGCAGGCAUCACCA